CACUCUAUGGUCAAAAGUUUUAGCUACAUGUUUAAAAACUAACUUUCCAACAAAUAUAACUUAUGUUUGCACUCAUUUACACAAUGUUUCGCUUGUGUAGUAUUCUUGUAGGCUUGUGCACUAACUGUCUCAACAGAACAUGUUAGGACUUACGCCAGUUCAUGUCGCGGCAGAGACGGGCAACUACGUCUCGUGAAAUAAAGACGGGUAGCUUUGACAAGUUCACAAGAUAUCCACUUCAUUGUCAACCCCGCAAACUCCAAGGAUUUGGUAUGGAAUUCCCUAUCUGUAUGUAUAUGACUUUUUGAUUAGCUAAGUGCAUUUUUGACUCUUAUAUUGUUUCUGUAUUAUUUCAUAACAUAACUUCUCAAAACUAAAAUCAUGGCAUAUUUUGAUCUGCUGACAAAGAGUUAACUGAGUUACAUGAACCCAUGCUUGCAAGGAAUCCCAAAAACGAAGAGAGGUAACUUUUACUUUAGAUGAAACAUUCCCUGUUUGCGACAAUCCGAGAAUUCUCUUCUGCAGCCUCAACUGACGCAAGCCUAGCACGAAGAGAGAUUUGUCGAUGUUAUGAUUCACCCAGCGCAUGUGUGAAUGAAAAGUGCCAGCUGCAACUUCCUCUCUUGAACUCUAGGCGGUACUUUAUUGCAGAACCAUAAUCAAGGUUGCAGAUGAACCUGUGUCAAAGCUGCUUUUCAGGCAGGAGCUGACACCAGUGAAACUGACAGAGAUGGAAAUACAGUAUCCCACUUGUGCCUGAAAGCAAGGCCUUUUCGUUGGAAUCUAAGGCUUGUGCGGCUCUCGCUCAACCAUGGUGCCAAAGUAUCUCAACAGAACCUGUUACGACUUACAACAGUUCAUCCGCGGCAGAGACAGGAAAUAAAGACCAAUAGAUUCGACAGGUUCACAAGACAUCCACUUCAUUAUCAACCCCGCAAACCAAGGAUUUGUAUUUCGUGAGAGGACUUUCAAGAAGACCAUAAUCAUGGCAUAUUUUGCGCUGCGAGCAAGGAGUUAAUUGAGUUACAUGAAUCUAUGUUUGCAAGUUAUCCCAAAAACAGAGAGAGCCUCAAACUGAUGCAAUCUUAGCACGAAGACGGAGGUUUUUUGCUGAUUCGCUGUCAUUAUUUUCCGUCACUUGUGCGAGAGGUGCCACUGCAGUCUGCAGCUUUACCCAUGGGGAGGGUGAGCUGAGUCAUGGCUCGCUUGAACCCAAAGUAGUGUCUCCUUUCAGAACCUUAACAGAAAACAGUCAAGGAUCAGAAGGGUUUUAUUGGGGGCCUCCUACUCUCUGUUGACUCAGACACCAUAGCGAUCACCUCUAAAGCAGGCAACCAUUUGCAGUCCAAAGGGUCCAAAGGGUUUGACGUCAUCACCUGCAAGCUGGAGGAGACUGUUGCAAGUGUUAUAAAGCCCAUUUUGUGAUGAUCUUUUUCAAGAAGUCUGAAAUAAAAAAAUGCAUUUAUAAAAUCAUUUUCAGAGACUUUCAGAAGGAUCAAGAUGGACAGCCUCUUGGACCAACUGCCAGAACACCUUCCUACAGAACACCUUCCUACAUGGCUAGUGAAGUUUAGGAAGUGGCUACCAAUAUUUCUGAAGAGGACACUUUUAAAGCCUUGGAAUGAUAGAUCAUAGUGAGAGAAAGAUAGAUCAUCUACUAGUGGGAGAAAAUCCAGGGAAAGGUUAAUAUUGGCUAUAUGCACUCUGAAGAGGGAGGUCUGUGUUCCAAUCCAACCACAUACUUUCUCUUUGUUCAGUAAGAGACUUGUAUAAGCUGCUGUAUGGUUUGCUUUGUCCAACCUGGUUCAUUGGCAAUAAUUCCCUGUCAUCAAAAUGUGUGCCUGUUGCUUUAAGCACAAUAUCCGAAGGACAUGCAUUAUUUUCAAUGUCAAAGUGCAGGGUUUCGAGUUCAUGGAUCAUCCUCAUACGCUGGAUAAGCUUCUGACACUUUCUGCCCACCUCUUGGAUUCCAGUUCAAGGCAUGGGCUCCAGAGUUCCAAAUGUUUCUCCUUCAACUGCUAUAUCUUUAAACCAUCACAGGUCUUUCAAUUGAUUGUGUAGAUGUGGCUCCAAUUAAGGCAGCCAUGAAAGCUAAAGAGGUUAAGAAAGGUGGAGCGUUGCCCAAGUUUGAUGGAAUCUGAAUGGAGUUAGGUAUCAAUUUGGUCCCGGGCACGAGAGUAAGUAGUUUAUACCUCUCAAUCUUUUUCAUAUUUUGCCUCCAGAUUUGAUGCGCUUUAACGUUGCGGAGAGGUUUCUUAAAGAGGCAAUCAAUUGUAGUGUAGAAAAGAACAAAAGCAUAGCGAAUCGACAAAAUAUCAAUUAUGUCAUGCUUCACACUACCCCGCAGUACUAUGGAAUUGCGUCAGGCUUCGUGAUGCUAGCAUGACACGUUCGAGGUAUCCACUGAUAAUGGAGAGCUUGCGUCAGGCUUGGUGAUGCUAGCGAUGACAUUCGAGGUGUCCACUGAUAGUGGACGAGCUUUUAACUACAUUGACUCUCAAGUCUGGGGAGCAAUUGCACUUUUGUACAGCAUAGAGGAUGUUUCCAGCUUUGGCCAAGGAUUGUUAUCUUAUGCAAAUGAAGCGAGAAGGGUAAAACUUAUCCUUUGGAUGCUCAACACGAGCGUAUGAUCACAUAGCCCUUCAGUAGUCAUUGUUGCAGUUCGAACCGAUCAAUUUUGUAUCAAAAUCAAUUGCAAAAUCUUCUUUUUAACUGUUAUUAGUUCUUGCAUUGUUAUGCCCAUGCAUUUUAAGUCUUUACCUGUGCGUGGACAAUAUAUUUAUUGGAGUUUUUUCAGGUUUUAGUGAAGUCCCACAGUUUCAACUUGUUAA